CUCUAAGGACUGCUUUGGCAGAAGAGUCUCUUUGCCCUUUCACUCUCCCUUCCCAAGGGCAGCUGACACCAUGACUGGUCAAUGUAGUGGUAUACUUAGCCCCUGUAUCCCAACAAGGGGCAACUCUGAAGGGUCACCCCAGCUUGAGAACUCUGAAAAUCAAAGGCUGGUGUCUCAGGCUUUUUGAAGAUGGAAACAAAGUCUCAUUUCUUUGGUCUAAGUAUGGAGUGUGCUGGGCACAUGGUGGAAAUUCAGUCAGUGCUUGCUGUUGAUGAAACACACCGGCUGCUGCUGCUUCAGCCUUUGGCUGCUUAAGUCACCUCAGUUCAUGUCUGGUUGUGGCCCAUUUAUGGUCUUGAAAUCAACUGAAUGUGUUAUGACCAGCGAGACAAAACGAAACAGAAUGGAACAGGGGGAAAUGUAGCAGCAUGUCAUAUUAGGUGACUGGAGUCAGGGAGAGAGCCUGUGCCUGUGCGAGGAAUGGUACAUAACCUCCGUGCUCCUUGGAAAAUCAGCAGCAGCAUUUUCAUAUCUGAAGAAUCUCUAUGCCAACUAUGUCAACCUUUUCAGAUGUGCAAAUUGCACCUAGUAGGUACAAGGGCUAGCAGAUGGCUCUAAUUUCAGAGUGCCCUUGACUACUAAAAAGAAGGCACUGAUGAGAAUUUGUCUCAGGCCAGUAUUUGGUUCUGCUACAUAUAGAAGGGAUUAGCCCUUCACUCGGAGGAUCACCAGCACAUACUCUCUGUGUGGCCCAGUCCAACUUCUGUCCUGUGGGCUGCUGCCCUGUUCUACCACCUAGUGCCCAGGCAAAACCCACAUUUUAAAAUGCAAAGGAAUAACCACUGCAUGGUAAACUUAGUGGGAAGGAAUCAUACAUACUACAGGAUCAGAUGUGCAUCCACAGGAGCAAUUUUCUGAAUUGACCAAGAAGGUAAGAGCAUCUCUGACUUUGGUCACUUUAGAAUAAGAAUGGUCUUGUUCUACCUGCCCCUGAUUAAGCCUCCAGGGAGCUUAGGAAACACAGUCUAGAAAAGACUACCUCAAAAAUGUAGACAUAUUCUACUGUGGAGGAAAAAAUGUGAACGCAGAUAUUGAUCACAUCUUGUGUUACCCCUUCUCUCCAAACUUAUCUCCAAAGGCAGAGAGGAUGGAGGCUGUCUGGAGGCUCCUCCUGGCAUAUUUAACUCCCUCCUGUCCCCCUCCUACUUGCAUAUAUGGACUUCUGCACUUAGGCGCAGGCUUCUCUGCCUGAGGUGGCCCAUUCUCAAAUGCGGGCCCCUGCAGGCCAGAAAUCUCUCCUCCCUCUCUUUACACAACCUUCUGAGUCUCAUGUGUAGUAGGUGCUCAAUAAGUGUUUGCUGAAUUGAACCCCGUUUUUCCACUGAGAGAGACUAAGGCAUAAAGGCUUCAGAUCACGCAGUUCAUGGAGCCACUGGGGCUUCUCUCCCUCACCUGGCCUGAUGUUUUCAGGCGGGGUGCGGUGGGUCAGGCCUGUAAUCCCAGAACUUUGGGAGGACGAGGUGGGCGGAUCACUUGGGCCCAGGAGUUGGAGACCAGCCUGGGCAACAUGGUGAAACUCCGUCUCCACCAAAAAUACAAAAAUUUUGCUGGGCGUGCGGGCGCACACCUGUGGUCCCAGCUACUCGGGAGGCUGAGGUGGGAGGAUCGCUUGACCCCGGGAGGCGGAGGCUGCAGUGAGCCGAGAUCCCGCCAUUACACUACAGCCUGGGCGACAGAGCAAGACCCUGUCUCAAAAAACAAACAAACAAAAAAAGUUUUCCUUAAGGAAGGGAUGGACUGGGGAGGCCUGGCUUGGGGGUCACUCCUAGGUGGCGACGCAGACCCUGAGCGCUUGCUUUGCAAGGGGACGAACUGAGCCAUCUUUUUGCUAUCAUUUAUCCGUCCCAAAUAAGCAGCUCUCAGAAAGUUUCCGUUUUGAAACUUCUCCGACACUCCUAUCCCGGGCUGGCUCCGGGCGCCAGAGCCGAGAGGAGUUACCUGCGA
rnacentral:lncRNA from 10 species